GCCGAGGUGGCAGAGCGGACUAAUCCGGCCGGCUGAAGAGACCGGUUUCUCCGGAAGGAGUGCUUGGGUUCGAAUCCCAACCUCGGCG
rnacentral:tRNA from 1 species